rnacentral:rRNA from 1 species
AUUGAACGCUGGCGGCAUGCUUUACACAUGCAAGUCGAACGGUAACAGGGUGCUUGCACCCCUGACGAGUGGCGAACGGGUGAGUAAUGCGUCGGAACGUGCCGAGUAGUGGGGGAUAACGCAGCGAAAGUUGUGCUAAUACCGCAUACGUACUGAGGUAGAAAGUGGGGGACCUUCGGGCCUCACGCUAUUCGAGCGGCCGACGUCUGAUUAGCUAGUAGGGUAGGUAAAGGCUCACCUAGGCGACGAUCAGUAGCGGGUCUGAGAGGAUGAUCCGCCACACUGGGACUGAGACACGGCCCAGACUCCUACGGGAGGCAGCAGUGGGGAAUUUUGGACAAUGGGCGAAAGCCUGAUCCAGCCAUGCCGCGUGUCUGAAGAAGGCCUUCGGGUUGUAAAGGACUUUUGUCAGGGAGGAAAUCCCUAGUGCUAAUAACACUGGGGGAUGACAGUACCUGAAGAAUAAGCACCGGCUAACUACGUGCCAGCCGCCGCAGUAAAAC